CCUACGGGUGGCAGCAGUGAGGAAUAUUGGUCAAUGGACGCAAGUCUGAACCAGCCACGCCGCGUGCAGGAAGACGGCUCUAUGAGUUGUAAACUGCUUUUGUACGAGGGUAAACGCAGAUACGCGUAUCUGUCUGAAAGUACCGUACGAAUAAGGAACGGCCAACUCCGUGCCAGAAGCGCCGGUAAUACGGUGGAUUCAAGCGUUAUCCGGUUUUAUUUGGUUUAAGGGGUGCGUAGGCGGUCGGGUAAGUUAGAGGUGAAAUCCCGAGGCUCAACUUCGGAAUUGCCUCUGAUACUGUUCGGCUAGAGAGUAGUUGCGGUAGGGGGAAUGUAUGGGGUAGCGGUGAAAUGCUUAGAGAUCAUACAGAACACCGAUUGCGAAGGCAGCUUACCAGGCUACUUCUGACGUUGAGGCACGAAAGCGUGGGGAGCAAACAGGAUUAGAUACCCUUGUAGUC
rnacentral:rRNA from 1 species